rnacentral:rRNA from 1 species
GACGUAGGUGGCGAACGUUAUCCGGAAUUAUUGGGCGUAAAGGGUGUGUAGGCGGCAUGAUAAGUUAUUGGCGGCAAAUCGAGGCUCAACCUCGUGGAAACUAAUAAUACUGUCUUGCUUGAGUGCAGAAGAGGUUAACGGAACUCCAUGUGGAGCGGUAAAAUGUGUAGAUAUAUGGAAGAACAUCAAUAACGGCGAAGGCAGUUAACUAUUCUGUUACUGACGUUUGAGGCACGAAAGCGUGGGGAGCAAAAAGG